CGCCCCCGGGCAGCCGCCGUAGCACGUCGAGAAGCAACCACGGGCACCACGUGGGUCGAUCGACGCGUCGCGUUUCGCGAUCGCCUCGAGAGUCUGUGCGGCGAACGUGGCCGCCGACAAGAGCCGAGGAGGACCCCGGCAGAAACUUGUGGCGGGAGGAGGCUGCUGGCGGGGACCACCGGAUGGCGUCACGGACAUGCAGGGGGAACCUACAGCUCAUGGCCUAUGACCGGCCCACGACUUCAUUUCGUACGACCCACGGCCACGCGAGGCCCUCCGCUUUAGCGUCAUGGCCCAGCCACAACGGAACCGCGACCCGACAUCGGCGACGGAGUCUGCGGGACCACAAGCCAGCGCGAGGUCUUUCCAAGAAAGCUCACGGCAGAAAUCUGUCCCUGGCGACAGUCAAAGUGGACGGCUUCGACUCCCUUGCCCUGCAGUCUCCAUUCACCCAUUGGCCAAACCGGUCCACCUUGCUGCGAACACGCAACGGCGGCGUUUUUCUUAUUAGCGAAUCGCUACGCAGUCGCUGCCCCUCCCCCCCACACACAGGAUAAGCGCGUGUAUGUGUACCUAUGGACGCGCGCGUGUGUGUUU